rnacentral:rRNA from 1 species
GAUGAACGCUGGCGGCGUGGAUAAGGCAUGCAAGUCGAACGGUAAGGCCCUUCGGGGUACACGAGUGGCGAACGGGUGAGUAACACGUGGGUGAUCUGCCCUGCACUUCGGGAUAAGCCUGGGAAACUGGGUCUAAUACCGGAUAGGACUCCGGACUGCAUGGUCUGGGGUGGAAAGCUUUUGCGGUGUGGGAUGGACCCGCGGCCUAUCAGCUUGUUGGUGGGGUGAUGGCCUACCAAGGCGACGACGGGUAGCCGGCCUGAGAGGGUGACCGGCCACACUGGGACUGAGAUGCGGCCCAGACUCCUACGGGAGGCAGCAGUGGGGAAUAUUGCACAAUGGGCGCAAGCCUGAUGCAGCGACGCCGCGUGAGGGAUGACGGCCUUCGGGUUGUAAACCUCUUUCAGCAUCGACGAAGCGAAAGUGACGGUAGGUGCAGAAGAAGGACCGGCCAACUACGUGCCAGCCGCCGCCGUAA